rnacentral:rRNA from 1 species
UGGGGAAUAUUGCACAAUGGGCGCAAGCCUGAUGCAGCCAUGCCGCGUGUGUGAAGAAGGCCUUCGGGUUGUAAGCACUUUCAGCGAGGAGGAAGGUGGUGAGCUUAAUACGCUCAUCAAUUGACGUUACUCGCAGAAGAAGCACCGGCUAACUCCGUGCCAGCAGCCGCGGUAAUACGGAGGGUGCAAGCGUUAAUCGGAAUUACUGGGCGUAAAGCGCACGCAGGCGGUUUGUUAAAGUCAGAUGUGAAAUCCCCGGGCUCAACCUGGGAACUGCAUUUGAAACUGGCAAGCUAGAGUCUCGUAGAGGGGGGUAGAAUUCCAGGUGUAGCGGUGAAAUGCGUAGAGAUCUGGAGGAAUACCGGUGGCGAAGGCGGCCCCCCUGGACGAAGACUGACGCUCAGGUGCGAAAAGCGUGGGGAGCAAAACAGGAUUAGAUACCCUGGUAGUCCACGCUGUAAAACGAUGUCGAUUUUGGAGGUUGUGCCCUUGAGGCGUGGCUUCCGGAGCUAACGCGUUAAAA